UACGUAGGGAGCAAGCGUUGUUCGGAUUUACUGGGCGUAAAGGGCGCGUAGGCGGCGUGUCAAGUCGUAUUGUGAAAUCUCCGGGCUUAACUCGGAACGGCCAAUCGAUACUGACGUGCUAGAGUGCAGAAAGGGCAAUCGGAAUUCUUGGUGUAGCGGUGAAAUGCGUAGAUAUCAAGAGGAACACCUGAGGCGAAGGCGGGUUGCUAGGCUGACACUGACGCUGAGUGCGCGAAAGCCAGGGAGCAAACGGG
rnacentral:rRNA from 1 species